UGACAAAUGCUGCAUUCAAGUAAUGUAGAGGAAAGUCCAUGCUCACACAAACUGAGAUGUUUGUAGUGUUCACGCUAGGGGAAAAAAUAACCCUAGGUAGCAAGUUUGCUAACGGCUCCGAAACAACCUAAGUUUUUAAUAUGGUUAGACUAGGUAUAAAAGUGCCAAAGUGACGAAGAAUCCAGAAAUGGAGGAAGUGGAACGUGGUAAACCCCGUGAGUGAGAAACCCAAAUUUUGGUAGGGGAGCUUCAGUAGAGAAUUGAAUCAAUCUGAGGACUGGAAACAGUAGAUAAAUAUUUGUCGCUUCGAAAGAAGAACAGAACAUGGCUUAUAA
rnacentral:RNase_P_RNA from 1 species